CCCUACGGGAGGCAGCAGUGAGGAGUAUUGGUCAAUGGGCGCGAGCCUGAACCAGCCAAGUCGCGUGAGGGAAGACGGUCCUAUGGAUUGUAAACCUCUUUUGUCGGGGAGCAAAAGACGCCACGUGUGGCGUUCCGAGAGUACCCGAAGAAAAAGCAUCGGCUAACUCCGUGCCAGCAGCCGCGGUAAUACGGAGGAUGCGAGCGUUAUCCGGAUUUAUUGGGCGUAAAGCGAGUGCAGGCGGUUCAAUCAUGCUGA
rnacentral:rRNA from 1 species